rnacentral:rRNA from 1 species
UACGUAGGGUGCAAGCGUUGUCCGGAAUUAUUGGGCGUAAAGAGCUCGUAGGCGGUUUGUCGCGUCUGCUGUGAAAACUCGGGGCUCAACUCCGAGCUUGCAGUGGGUACGGGCAGACUAGAGUACGGUAGGGGAGUGGGGAAUUCCUGGUGUAGCGGUGAAAUGCGCAGAUAUCAGGAGGAACACCAAUGGCGAAGGCAGCUCACUGGGACGGUAUUGACGCUGAGACGCGAAAGCGUGGGGAGCAAACAGG